CGCCUGCCCAAUGCGUCUCUCUCGGACCUCUCUUCUUCAUCCCACCCGUGACUAUCUCUCUCUCUCUACCCCUUGCUUCCACCCCCUUUUAAAUGAGCAAAUCGAAGCUGAACGUCCUCCAAAAGUGCAGAUAAAAGCUACCCAUCCCUCGGCGAGCCUCUCUAUCUCUCUCUCCCUCCCCCAUAAAAACCCAUCUGGCUCAUGUCCCCCAAACUUCCAUUCUUUCAUCAAUCUCUCUCUCUCUAAAUGAUUCUUAUAUGCCGCAAUCUCUCUCUAAAGUCCAAAUUAUUCUCGUGUGCCCCUCACUUCUCUGGUUUUCCUCAGCCUCUCUCUCUCUACAAAACUCAUUUCUCAUAGAGCAUCCCAUCUCUCUCGACGAAACCCUCUCUUUCUCCUCGCAGCCCAACCCCUCUAAUCGUGGCAGCCAUUUUUCAAAGAGCAUCCCUACGUGAGCUACGUACAAAACCCAUUCUCUCUCUCCUGGCAGCCCAAUCCGUUUAAUCGUGGCAGCCAUUUCUCACACAAAAUCACAGAAGAAGUAGCAACAGUAGAGCCCUUUCUCACAGUAUAAACACCAAAAAUCACAGAAAUAGGGUUAUUUCCAAAGUCCACUGUAAGAUUCGAUCCCAUAAGAACGUGGGACAUGAGCAUUGAUGGCCGAAAAGAUGCUCCACAGAAGAUGCGGUAAAUUUUUGCAAAAGAUUCAAGGGUCAUUUUUUGUUACAUGCUCCUUGCUAUAGUUCAAGAGCUAUUUUUUGUUAUACACUCCAUAGUUGUGGUGAUUGUGUUGCAUGGAAAUGGGGUAGUAAAGAGUCAUUUUUUUGGUAAAGUGAAGUUUUGUAAUGGACAUGUGUGGUGAAUCUAGUGAUCGUGUUGUAUGGAAAUGGGGACAGUAAAGAAUCAUCUUUUGGUAAAAUGCCGUAUUGUAAUGGACAUGUGUGGUCAUUGUGGUGAUUGUGUUGUAUGGAAAUGAUUCAAGAGUAAAUACAGGAUUAUUUAGCACAA